rnacentral:rRNA from 1 species
AUUUUAAAGAGAGUUUGAUCCUGGCUCAGGACGAACGCUGGCGGCGUGCCUAAUACAUGCAAGUCGAACGAACGGAGGAAGAGCUUGCUCUUCCAAAGUUAGUGGCGGACGGGUGAGUAACACGUGGGCAACCUGCCU